GUCAGGAACCCCACCGCUAUAAGCCGGGGGCUUGAAUAAAGCCCGUACCUGACCAGCCUAAGUGCCUAACGCACUACGUUAACGGCAAGAGUUAAAGUUCCUACCUUGGGAUGCGUGCGCGUAGCGCGUAAGCCAGUCCCAUGCUCUAGA
rnacentral:sRNA from 21 species